AUCUAUACUGUGAAACUGCGAAUGGCUCAUUAAAUCAGUUAUCGUUUAUUUGAUAGUACCUUACUACUUGGAUAACCGUGGUAAUUCUAGAGCUAAUACAUGCUAAAAACCCCGACUUCGGGAGGGGUGUAUUUAUUAGAUAAAAAACCAAUGCCCUUCGGGGCUCCUUGGUGAUUCAUGAUAACUUAACGAAUCGCAUGGCCUUGCGCCGGCGAUGGUUCAUUCAAAUUUCUGCCCUAUCAACUUUCGAUGGUAGGAUAGUGGCCUACCAUGGUAUCAACGGGUAACGGGGAAUUAGGGUUCUAUUCCGGAGAGGGAGCCUGAGAAACGGCUACCACAUCCAAGGAAGGCAGCAGGCGCGCAAAUUACCCAAUCCCGACGCGGGGAGGUAGUGACAAUAAAUACUGAUACAGGGCUCUUUUGGGUCUUGUAAUUGGAAUGAGUACAAUUUAAAUACCUUAACGAGGAACAAUUGGAGGGCAAGUCUGGUGCCAGCAGCCGCGGUAAUUCCAGCUCCAAUAGCGUAUAUUAAAGUUGUUGCAGUUAAAAAGCUCGUAGUUGAACCUUGGGCCUGGCUGGCCGGUCCGCCUCACCGCGUGUACUGGUCCGGCCGGGCCUUUCCUUCUGGGGAUCCGCAUGCCCUUCACUGGGCGUGCCGGGGAACCAGGACUUUUACUUUGAAAAAAUUAGAGUGUUCAAAGCAGGCCUUUGCUCGGAUACAUUAGCAUGGAAUAAUAGAAUAGGACGUGCGGUCCUAUUUUGUUGGUUUCUAGGACCGCCGUAAUGAUUAAUAGGGAUAGUCGGGGGCAUCAGUAUUCAAUUGUCAGAGGUGAAAUUCUUGGAUUUAUUGAAGACUAACUACUGCGAAAGCAUUUGCCAAGGAUGUUUUCAUUAAUCAGUGAACGAAAGUUAGGGGAUCGAAGACGAUCAGAUACCGUCGUAGUCUUAACCGUAAACUAUGCCGACUAGGGAUCGGGCGAUGUUAUUCUUUUGACUCGCUCGGCACCUUACGAGAAAUCAAAGUCU
rnacentral:rRNA from 1 species